GACGAACGCUGGCGGCGUGCUUAACACAUGCAAGUCGAACGGAAAGGCUCCAGCUUGCUGGAGUACUCGAGUGGCGAACGGGUGAGUAACACGUGGGUAAUCUGCCCUGCACUCUGGGAUAAGCCUGGGAAACUGGGUCUAAUACUGGAUAUGACCUUUCUCCUUAUGGGGUUUGGUGGAAAGUUUUGCGGUGUAGGAUGAGCCCGCGGCCUAUCAGCUUGUUGGUGGGGUGAUGGCCUACCAAGGCGACGACGGGUAGCCGGCCUGAGAGGGUGAUCGGCCACAUUGGGACUGAGAUACGGCCCAGACUCCUACGGGAGGCAGCAGUGGGGAAUAUUGCACAAUGGGCGGAAGCCUGAUGCAGCGACGCCGCGUGCGGGAUGACGGCCUUCGGGUUGUAAACCUCUUUCAGCAGGGACGAAGCGUAAGUGACGGUACCUGAAGAAGAAGCACCGGCUAACUAUGUG
rnacentral:rRNA from 1 species